rnacentral:rRNA from 1 species
GACGAACGCUGGCGGCGUGCUUAACACAUGCAAGUCGAGCGGUGAAGCGAGUGCUUGCACUCGUGGAUCAGUGGCGAACGGGUGAGUAACACGUGAGUAACCUGCCCAUCACUCUGGGAUAAGCACUGGAAACGGUGUCUAAUACUGGAUACGACCAACCCUUGCAUGGGGUGUUGGUGGAAAGAUUUAUCGGUGAUGGAUGGACUCGCGGCCUAUCAGCUUGUUGGCGGGGUAAUGGCCCACCAAGGCGACGACGGGUAGCCGGCCUGAGAGGGUGACCGGCCACACUGGGACUGAGACACGGCCCAGACUCCUACGGGAGGCAGCAGUGGGGAAUAUUGCACAAUGGGCGAAAGCCUGAUGCAGCGACGCCGCGUGAGGGAUGACGGCCUUCGGGUUGUAAACCUCUUUCAGCAGGGAAGAAGCGAAAGUGACGGUACCUGCAGAAGAAGCACCGGCUAACUACGUG